GCUCUGAGCUGUCAGCACAGAGGCAGAUGUGAGGCUCGACCUCACGGACCACGAGACCGUGACCUGAGCCGAAGUCGGAAGCUUAACCGACUCAGCCACCCAGGCGCCCCUCCUAUUAUUUCUUAUUGGAUCAUCACAGCAACCCAGAGGUUGUCAGAGUUAGCAACCUACACGCCAUAGAAACUAAACUCAUGCAUGUAAACCAUUGGCCAGAGAGCAGUUAGAAUUCCCAAUCUCUUGCUCAACACUUUCAGUAAAGACAGGCAUACAUUUUUUUUUUUUUUUUUUAUCAGAUGCUAUGCAGGUGGAGUUCAGGCACCUCCAGGGUUCCUCUUAUGCUAAAGGUUCUGGAAAAGUCCCAAGAGCACCCUAAAAUCCAAAGAAGACGUUUACCGAAGCAUGAGUCACCCUAAAACACCUACUUCGGACUUUGAGGAAGGGACUAAUUUUCCCUCUGUCGUCAGGUACACAGCAGCAGCCUUUGCAAAGCCCCGCCAGCAACUUGUCUAUUUAUACUUUGUUUAUUACCUUAGGUGGCUGUACAGCUGUGGAUUUUUGAGGACCACACGAGGCUGCUGUGAGUUAAUAAUCCCAGACAAUCACAGGCUCUCUUUUCCUCCAGGGGUGUGGCUCUUCGUUUACAGAAAGGAAGGCUGAAUCACAGAAUGGAAAACGGUGACACACAGCCCAUCUCUAGCAGAGCGGGAAAACAAAAGUAUGGCCGUUCUCUGCUUCACCUUGAGUCGGCAUUGUCUUUAAAGGUAGACUUUGAUCCCAAACUUGAGUCCUUUUCCAUUGCGACGCUAACUCGAAGGACAGGAUCUCCGGGUCUCUGUGGAUGAUCUCCCUGUCUCUGCUUGAGAGAAAACAGUUUGGGUGGUGUUUAUGCAUCAGUCUACAAAAUGAGAUUUUGAAAAUCUUUCUCCAUAAAGUGAAUUGUCUUUACCCCUGACGCUUCUCCUGAGACCUCUUAUUCGGUUAAAGCAACCCACCAGUUUGCCUGAAAGCUGUUUACACCGGGAAAUGUUAAGGGUGACCUAGCUUCAAGCAAUUACACGCUGCAAGCUAAUUCUAAUUGCCAGCCAUUCAUUUUUCUUUCUUUUUUUCUUUCUUUUUUUUUUUCGAUGUUUAUUUAUUUUUGAGAGAGACAGAGGGAGAGCAUGUGCAGGGGAGGGGCAGAGAGAGAGGGAGACACAGACUCGGACGCAGGCUCCAGGCUCCAAGCUGUCGGCACAGAGCCCGAUGUGGGGCUCGAACCCACGAACCGCAAAAUCACGACCCGGGCUGAAGUCGGAUGCUCAACCGACUGAGCCACCCAGGGGCCCCAGCCAUUCAUUUUUCGGCAAAUAUUUGUUCUUCGUGUCGGGCACUAGGGCGGGGUCAGGGGGAGAAGAACAAAUCCUAGUGUCUACCUUCAAAGGGUACUCAACGCACAAGAGACAAGCCCAGGCACAGUUUGCACGACAGUGCGAUAAAUUCUGUGAAUUUGGCUGGCGCAGAAAGUCACUUCACCCAGCUUUUUGUUUUCAUGUGGGCCCUGGGUGUGUCCGAUCUUCUAAUUUGUCAAAAAGUCCCCGGAAAAUAGAUUUUUCUGUGACAGCUCCU